rnacentral:rRNA from 1 species
AAAAGAAANUAACUAGGAUUCCCCCAGUAGCGGCGAGCGAAGCGGGAACAGCCCGGGAUGAAAAUCUCUUCGGAGAGUUGUAGUCUGAGCUCCCUUGGGCGGUCAGUGUGGGUAAGUCGUCUGGAAUGACGUGCCGUGGAGGGUGAGAGCCCCGUCCAGCCCACACAGGACGCGCCCGCACGAGGGAAGCUUCAACCGAGUCGGGUAGCUUGGGAAUGCUGCUCUAAGUGGUGGUAAAUCUCAUCAAAGGCUAAAUAUCGAUGGGAGACCGAUAGCGAACAAGUACCGUGAGGGAAAGAUGGAAAGAACUUUGAAAAGAGAGUGAAAAGCGCUUGAAACCGUCACGGGGGAAGCGCAUUGCGUGAGUGGUGGCGCCGCACUGUUCAGCUCGUUUCACCGCGAGUGCAUUCUGUGCGCGCCAGGCGUGUGUGGCUGGGCGACGCGUGUCAGCAUGACACGCGGCCUGGUGAGGGCUCUCUCCCCCGCGAGAGAAGAANACACACGCAAUGACGCAAUACGACCCGUCUUGAAACACGGACCAAGGAGUCUAGCACGGCUGCGAGUCCAAGGGUGCACAAAACCCAGGGGGCGCAGUGAAAGCGAAAGCACUACAAAAUUGAUACCAAUUGGGGAGGCGUUGCGGUUCGUCCAAAAUGUUCUACCUUGAGCACCCGUGCUGGGACCCGAAAGAUGGUGAACUAUGCCGGAGUAGGGCAAAGCCAGAGGAAACUCUGGUGGAGGCUCGUAGCGAUGCUGACGUGCAAAUCGCUCGUCAAACUUGGGUAUAGGGGCGAAAGACUAAUCGAACCAUCUAGUAGCUGGUUCCCUCCGAAGUUUCUCUCAGGAUAGCGGGCCGACACGACGUUGUUUUGUGCGGUAAAGCGAAUGAUUAGUGCAUUUGGGGGCCCAAGGCCUUCGGGCAAUUCUCAAACUUUAAAUGCGCAAACGGGGCGGCUGCUUGGUUGAGCCCAGCCCCGCGAAAAACGUCGGCCCCGUGGGCCACUUUUGGUAAGCAGAACUGGCGAUAAGGGAUGAACCUUAAGCGCGGUUAAGGCGCCGCAUUGCCCGCUUAUAGACCCCACAAAAGGUGUUGAUUCAUCCAGACAGCAGGACGGUGGCCAUGGAAGUCGGAAUCCGCUAAGGAGUGUGUAACAACUCACCUGCCGAAUGAAUUAGCCCUGAAAAUGGAUGGCGCUCAAGCGGGCAGCCGACACCGCGCCGUCCAAUCUUUUUGCACCGAUUGGAUGAGUAGGAGGGCGUGGCGGUCAGUGACGCAGGCGUGGGUGCAGACCCCGCUGAAACGGCCGCUAGUGCAGAUCUUGGUGGUAGUAGCAAGUAUUCAAGCAAACACCCUUGAAGGGCGAAGCGGGGAAGGGUUCCACGCCAACAUUGAUUGAGCGUGGGUUAGUCGUUCCUAAGCCGAGUGGCCAUUGCUAAGUACCGGCGAAAGGGCAGCGCGUUAACAUUCGCGCACACAGAUAUGGUAGCGGCGACGCAAAACGAGGCAAACACGCUGGCGGCUGCGCUGGGCAGAGUUUUCUUUUCUGUUUGACCUGCAUCGCGCCGUGUGGAAUCCGCUUAUCGGGAGAAACACGCGCGAGCAACGGGCAGAGCGCCGGACCUUUUCCGGCGUCCGGCUCGCAGCCGACGGCCCUUGAAAAUUUGCCCUUUUUUAUCACAAAAACACCAUGCUGUGACGUACCGAUAUCCGCAUCAGGUCCCCAAGGUGAACAGCCUCUGCUCCAUAUGAACAAUGCAGGUAAGGGAAGUCGGCAAAUUGGACCCGUAACUUUGGGAAAAGGGUUGGCUCUAGUGGCGCGGAGGUUCUCCCCAGGGUGACCGUUCUUCCAGUGGCGUGCGAGCCGGCCCCCGGGCCCCGCAAGGGACCAGGGGACCGCUCGCCACACCCCCGGGCGUGCGCAAACCCGCCUCCAGUAUGCUCCAAACUAGAACUGCAACGGGCAAAGGGAAUCCGACUGUUUAAUUAAAACAAAGCAUUGCGACGGCCGUGGCCGGUGUUGACGCAAUGUGAUUUCUGCUCAGUGCUCUGAAUGUCAAAGUGAAGAGAUUCAAUCAAGCGCGGGUAAACAGCGGGAGUAACUAUGACUCUCUUAAGGUAGCCAAAUGCCUCGUCAUCUAAUUAGUGACGCGCAUGAAUGGAUUAACGAGAUUCCUACUGUCCCUAUCUGCUUCUAGCGAAACCACAGCCGAGGGAACGGGCUCGGCAACAUCGGCGGGGAAAGAAGACCCUGUUGAGCUUGACUCUAUUCUAAUUUUGUGAAGCAAGUUAGGAGGUGUAGCAUAGGUGGGAGCACUAAACACGCGCCCCUGAAAUACCACUACUCUUAAUCUUGCUUUACUUAGGGCGUACGGCUGUGCGGCCCCCGCCCCGGGUUCACCCCCGCGAGCGCAGGGCUUACACCUUUUCGCGCCACGCUGCCUAGCAGCAAACAGCGCGCCCAACACAUUUAGGAGGGGAGUUUGGCUGGGGCGGCACAUCUUCUACAAGACAACGAAGGUGUCCAAAGAUAAGCUCAGUGAGAACAGAAAUCUCACGUAGCGCAAAAGGGUAAAAGCUUGUUUGAUUUCCAUUCUCAGUACCAUUUGAAAACGCGAAAGCGUGGCCUAUCGAUCCUUUCACUAUUCCAGAUUUGAAGCGAGAGGUGUCAGAAAAGUUACCACAGGGAUAACUGGCUUGUGGCGGCCAAGCGUUCAUAGCGACGUCGCUUUUUGAUCCU